UAAGAAAGAAUAUGCCACUCCCCUAACUGAUGCUGCUGAUGAUGAAAAGUAUGUGUUUCUGAACAGUUUCUGUGACUGGCUUGAAAUGUGGGAUAGUAUGAAGAACUCCACGGGCAAGUUAACAAAAGAAACAUUUGCAGCCUUAAAACAUACUACACAUGCAAUGGUGGAACUAACAAGUUACUGUAUAAAUGAAUUGAAAUUGAAAUAUGUUUUACCUGGCAAGUUUCAAACUGAUAAUUUGGAGGCCAGAUUUGGUAAAUACCGUCAACUUGCAGGUGCACAGUAUAAUAUUUCAGUAAGACAAAUGUUUGAAUGUGAAAAAAAAUUAAGAAUGAUGUCAGUCUUACACCAAGGCAGCAUUAAUUUAAAGAAUUUGGGUGAAACUAAUUGGGAAGGCUUAGAAAAUCAAGAUAAUCUGCGUGUAGAAGACUUAGGGCUUUUAGACGUGACAAGGGAAGACACUGAAAAAUGUAAAGAUGUCCUUGCUGUCAUAACAUACUUAGCUGGAUACUGCUGUUAUGCUGUCUGCAAAAAAAUGAAAUGCCUUUUCUGCAAAGAUAUAGUAACUUGUACUGAUUUAGCUGACACACUGCCUGAAAACCAUAGCUACAUUCAAGGACUUAGUAGAGGCUCUCUCUUAUAUCCAGAUGAUAUCACAACAAACAUUGUAAUGUACAAUUAUAUAAUCAUUAACAAACUAGCAAAGAACCCUUUAUUUAUACACUCGAUGAACCAACGCAAUCUGGCAACAGAGCUUACCCUAAAUGCUUUAGCAGAGGAUGAUGCUCUUUUCCACAGUGAUGUCUGUGGCGGUGGCCAUAGUACAGAAAAAGUAGAAAAGAUGAUAAUCUGGGCAUCUACCAAUGCACUACUAAACAAUUUCUGUGCUAGAGAAAAUAACAGUAUUGUAGCUAAUAAGGAUGUGCAAAAGAAUCGAAAACUAAAGACAUUAAUGAAGUAGUAUGUAGAGUGAAAUGAACAUGGAAUAAGAUGGAAAAACUCAGUGUAGUAAAUAUUACAGCUAAGCUUCAUUCUAAAUGCUCAUGCCAAGGGUAAUAUAUUAUGUUUGUUCUCAUAAAGUACAGUAGUGCAAAUUAACAUGGAAUAGGAUGGAAAUACUCAGUGUUGUAAAUAUUACAGCUAAGCUUCAUUCUAAAUGCUCAUGCCAAAGGUAAUAUAUUAUGUUUGUUCUCAUAAAGUAGUGCAAAUUAACAUGGGAUAGGAUGGAAAUACUCAGUGUUGUAAAUUUUACAGCUAAGCUUCAUUCUAAAUGCUCAUGCCAAAGGCAAUAUAUUUUGUUUGUUCUCAUGAAAUAGGAUUUUAUACCUUGGAAACAGUAUCUGUUAGAAUUAGAUAUCCUCAUGACCAAAAUUAUACUCACUAUUAAAGGUGAUAUAGGUAAUGACACUCUCUCUCUCUCUCUCUCUCUCUCUCUCUCUCUCUCUCUCUCUCUCUCUCUCUCUCUCUCUCUC